GUAGGUGGCAAGCGUUGUCCGGAAUUAUUGGGCGUAAAGCGCGCGCAGGCGGUUCUUUAAGUCUGAUGUGAAAGCCCACGGCUCAACCGUGGAGGGUCAUUGGAAACUGGGGAACUUGAGUACAGAAGAGGAAAGCGGAAUUCCACGUGUAGCGGUGAAAUGCGUAGAGAUGUGGAGGAACACCAGUGGCGAAGGCGGCUUUCUGGUCUGUAACUGACGCUGAGGCGCGAAAGCGUGGGGAGCAAACAGGGAUUAGAUACCCUGGUAGUCCACGCCGUAAACGAUGAGUGCUAAGUGUUAGGGGGUUUCCCGCCCCCUUAGUGCUGCAGCUAACGCAUUAAGCACUCCGCCUGGGGAGUACGGCCGCAAGGCUG
rnacentral:rRNA from 1 species